UGAAGAACAUCAAUUAUACUGGUUUCUUUUUGGUCAUGACUUCAGCAAUUUUGUGAUUUUUUAUAAAAUGGCUAUUGUUAUGUCCUCGAAGCACCAGUUUCCCAGCAAGAAAGAUCGA
rnacentral:precursor_RNA from 12 species